GCGGCGAGUGGCGAACGGGUGAGUAAUACAUCGGAACGUGCCCUGUCGUGGGGGAUAACUAGUCGAAAGAUUAGCUAAUACCGCAUACGACCUGAGGGUGAAAGCGGGGGACCGCAAGGCCUCUCGCGAUAGGAGCGGCCGAUGUCUGAUUAGCUAGUUGGGGGGGUAAAGGCCUACCAAGGCGACGAUCAGUAGCUGGUCUGAGAGGACGAUCACCCACACUGGGACUGAGACACGGCCCAGACUCCUACGGGAGGCGGCAGUGGGGAAUUUUGGACAAUGGGGGCAACCCUGAUCCAGCAAUGCCGCGUGUGUGAAGAAGGCCUUCGGGUUGUAAAGCACUUUUGUCCGGAGAAAAAUGGCCUGGGCUAAUACCCCGGGUCGAUGACAGUACCGGAAGAAUAUACACCGGCUAACUAUGCGCCAGCACCCGCGGUAAUAUAUAUGGGGCGAGCGUUAAACUGAAUUUCUGGGCGUAAAGCGCGCGCGCGCGGUUUGAUAAGACAGGCGUGAAAUCCCCGGGCUCUCCCUGGGAAUGGCGCUUGUGACUGUCACGCUAGAGUGCGUCAGAGAGGGGGAGAAUUCUACGUGUAUCACAGAAAUGCGCAUAGAUGUGGAGGAAUACCGAUGGCGAAAGCAGCCCCCUGUGACGCGACUGACACUCAUGCACAAAGCGUGUGGAGCACACAGGAGUAGAUAUCCUGUUAGUCUACGCGCUAAACGAUGUCACCUAUUAUGUUGUAGGAUUCUUAUCUUCACUAACAUAUCUC
rnacentral:rRNA from 1 species